rnacentral:rRNA from 1 species
UGGCGGACGGGUGAGUAACGCGUAAAGAACUUGCCCUUUAGACUGGGAUAACAGAGGGAAACUUCUGAUAAUACUGGAUAAGUUAGUAUAUCGCAUGAUAUGCAAAUGAAAGCUACGGCACUAAAGGAGAGCUUUGCGUCUAUUAGCUAGUUGGUAAGGUAAGAGCUUACCAAGGCGAUGAUAGGUAGCCGGCCUGAGAGGGUGGACGGCCACAAGGGGACUGAGAUACGGCCCUUACUCCUACGGGAGGCAGCAGUG